CAGUUUUUCAGAGUCACAAAAUGCUUCCUACAAAUGAGAGCUGGACUUAUGAGAGAUUUCAGAUUCAAUGAAGCAAGAUUGACAAGGAAACAAAGAGCUGCCCAAAGGGUGAAGAUAAGACAAAACAGACUGCAAAGGAUAGAAAUCUGAUGACCUAACUGAAGAUACUGCUUGAAAUGUGGCAUUGAUCAUCAGAAGUUACUGCUAAUUAAUGGUGGGCUGCUCUGAAGGACUGCCAGCAGUUGGUUUAAUAUAUGUGAACAUCUCUGCUUUUUCCACGUUGGCAUCUCUUAGGAAGAACACCAGUACAACAAGCUGCAAUGACUCUUUCCUGAAAUAAUAUAGUUUGGCUUACUACAGAGCAAUAAAAUACCUAAAUUAA